GGAAAGGAGGAACUACUACAAGA
rnacentral:piRNA from 1 species